AAAGGAAAGUGAUGCAAAUUAUCUGAAAUUUUGUGUUGACCAGCAACUCCGCUUAAUAUCUGAUGCCUUU
rnacentral:snoRNA from 1 species